CAGUGGACUAUUACAGGAACAGAACAUGGAUCUUUAGCUAGCUCUCUCUGACACAACUCACAACUCCUACACUGACACACAGAACUCUGAACCUCUGAACUCCUGAACUAUCUCAUUCCAAUUAAUAGGCCAUUAAUUAUCACUCCCUUGAAAGAGCUUGACCAAUCAGGGAGAAGUCUGCAUGACUCUGUUAUCGCCAGGCAGACCUCCUCCUUCAGAUUGCCUUCUGGCUGUCUGCCAAACCUUAAUUGACUCUGUGUGAGUAGCUGCACAUACACAGUUUCCCAACACAUCCAACCUCUGCUUAAAAACCUCUAAGGAAGGAGAGACUACAACCUUUCGUGGGAGUCUGACAGUAAGACCUGUUUGACAGUUGAACCAAAGUUUUUCUGAAUGCCUAGUCGGAAUCUCCUUUCUUGCCACUUGAUUCAAGCCAUUGGUUCGAAUCCUACCCUCCAGAGCAGAUGAAAACAAGCAUGCACCCACCCUUAAGAUAUUUGAAGAUCGCCAUCAUAUCUCUUCUCAGUCUCCUCUUUUCCAGGCUAAACAUAUCCAGCAACCCUUCCUCAUAAGGCUUAGUUUCCAAACCCUUGAUCAUCUUGGUUACCCUCCUCUGCACAUGUUUCAGCUUGUCAACAUCCUUCUUAAAUUGUGGUGCCCAGAAUUGGACGUGGUAUCCCAAGUGUUGUCUAACCAAGGCAGAAUAGAGUGGGACUGUUACUUCCCUUGAUCUGGACACUGUUGAUGCAGCCUAGAAUAGCAUGAACUUUGAUUUUCCUGUUGCAUCACACUGUUGACUCAUGGUCACUAAGUCCCCGAGAUCCUUUCCACAUGUACUGCAAGUAGGUUAGGUGUCCCCCAUCCUAUAUUUGUGCAUCUGAGCGCUGUGGGUUAAACCACAGAGCCUAGGGCUUGCCGAUCAGCAGGUCGGCGGUUCGAAUCCCCGCGACGGGGUGAGCUCCCGUUGCUCAGUCCCUGCUCCUGCCAACCUAGCAGUUCGAAAGCACGUCAAAGUGCAAGUAGAUAAAUAGGUACCACUCCGGCGGGAAGGUAAACGGCGUUUCCGUGCGCUGCUCUGGUUCACCAGGAGCGGCUUAGUCCUGCUGGCCACAUGACCCGGAAGCUGUACGCCAGCUCCCUCGGCCAAUAAAGCGAGAUGAGCGCCGCAACCCCAGAGUCAGUCACAAUUGGACAUAAUGAUCAGGGGUCCCUUUACCUUUACCUCUUCCUGCCUAAGUGCAGAACCUGACAUUUGUCCCUAUCGAAAUACAUUUUGUUAGCUUGCACCCAGGUCUCCAAUCUGUUAAGGUCAGUUUGAAUUCUGGUUCUGUUUUCUGCAGCAUUAGCUACCCUUCCUAGUUGGGUGUCAUCUUCAAAUUGGAUGAGCAUCCCCUCAAUUCUUUCAUCCAAGUCAUUUAUAAAGUCGUUGAAUAACAACAAGCCCAGGACAGAACCCUGCGACACCCCACUUGUCACUUUUUUCCAGGAUGAUGAGGAACUAUUAACUGCAAUACGUACAAUACCUGUAAAAAAAUCAAACUGAGAAACAGAGACACACGACUUGUGAUUUUUUAUUAUUAUGGUUUUAUCCCACAGAGUUCAUGGUGGAUUCCAAAGGUUCUCCCCCCCUUUCCCUCAUUUUGUCCUCUCAACAGCCCUGUGUGGUAGGUUAAGCCUGAGAGAACUUGCGGCGGGAACACAGGACGUUUUGUGAGCUGGAAUUGGAAACAGCAUCCUGUUCUGACAGUCUCAUCGCUAGCCCUUCUGCAAAAUCACACCUUGCCUUGCAAGGCGAGGCAUCGGCCUGUGGUUUCAUUUCCACUGUCGAAAUCCCCCACCUCCAACUUGGCCCUGGCUUAAAACUUCUGAUGCCACCAUUCUUCAAAAGGUUCAAAGCAUGUUGCAGCAUU